AGUGGCGAACGGGGUGAGUAACACGUGGGCAAUCUGCCCUGCACUCUGGGACAAGCCCUGGAAACGGGGUCUAAUACCGGAUACUGAUCCUCGCAGGCAUCUGCGAGGUUCGAAAGCUCCGGCGGUGCAGGAUGAGCCCGCGGCCUAUCAGCUAGUUGGUGAGGUAACGGCUCACCAAGGCGACGACGGGUAGCCGGCCUGAGAGGGCGACCGGCCACACUGGGACUGAGACACGGCCCAGACUCCUACGGGAGGCAGCAGUGGGGAAUAUUGCACAAUGGGCGAAAGCCUGAUGCAGCGACGCCGCGUGAGGGAUGACGGCCUUCGGGUUGUAAACCUCUUUCAGCAGGGAAGAAGCGAAAGUGACGGUACCUGCAGAAGAAGCGCCGGCUAACUACGUGCCAGCAGCCGCGGUAAUACGUAGGGCGCAAGCGUUGUCCGGAAUUAUUGGGCGUAAAGAGCUCGUAGGCGGCUUGUCACGUCGGUUGUGAAAGCCCGGGGCUUAACCCCGGGUCUGCAGUCGAUACGGGCAGGCUAGAGUUCGGUAGGGGAGAUCGGAAUUCCUGGUGUAGCGGUGAAAUGCGCAGAUAUCAGGAGGAACACCGGUGGCGAAGGCGGAUCUCUGGGCCGAUACUGACGCUGAGGAGCGAAAGCGUGGGGAGCGAACAGGAUUAGAUACCCUGGUAGUCCACGCCGUAAACGGUGGGCACUAGGUGUGGGCAACAUUCCACGUUGUCCGUGCCGCAGCUAACGCAUUAA
rnacentral:rRNA from 1 species